GCUAGUAAUCGCGGAUCAGCAUGCCGCGGUGAAUACGUUCCCGGGCCUUGUACACACCGCCCGUCACACCAUGGGAGCCGGUAAUACCCGAAGUCAGUAGCCUAACCGCAAGGGGGGCGCUGCCGAAGGUAGGAUUGGCGACUGGGGUGAAGUCGUAACAAGGUAUC
rnacentral:rRNA from 1 species